UACGUAGGGUGCGAGCGUUAAUCGGAAUUACUGGGCGUAAAGCGUGCGCAGGCGGUUUUGUAAGCCAGACGUGAAAUCCCCGGGCUUAACCUGGGAAUGGCGUUUGGGACUGCAAGGCUUGAGUAUGGCAGAGGGGACUAGAAUUCCUGGUGUAGCAGUGAAAUGCGUAGAUAUCAGGAGGAAUACCGAUGGCGAAGGCAGGUCCCUGGGUUAAUACUGACGCUCAUGCACGAAAGCGUGGGGAGCAAACAGG
rnacentral:rRNA from 1 species